CCCUUAGAUGUUCUGGGCCGCACGCGCGCUACACUGACGAAUGCAACGAGCUUAUAACCUUGGCCGAAAGGUCAGGGUAAUCUCCAAAUUUCGUCGUGAUGGGGAUAGAUUAUUGCAAUUAUUAAUCUUCAACGAGGAAUGCCUAGUAAGCGCAAGUCAUCAGCUUGCGUUGAUUACGUCCCUGCCCUUUGUACACACCGCCCGUCGCUCCUACCGAUUGAAUGGUCCGGUGAAGCGCUCGGACCGCGGCCUCUUGACGGUUUUCCGUCGAUUGGCUGUGGGAAGUUCGUUAAACCUUAUCAUUUAGAGGAAGGAGAAGUCGUAACA
rnacentral:rRNA from 1 species